UGAAGGUAAUAAUUUUGAUGUACAUUCUUCUAUAAAGAUUAUUGUUCCAGAAGCACUUGGGCUGCUGAAGGACUCAUGUGCUACAGCUCCAAGAAUUCCACAAGUUCCUGAGAAGAGAAAGCUGAAGAAAGCAAUUGCCUUCAGCUAAAUAGCAGUCAUGUGUUGUCAUAUUUAGUUCAUGGGUACAUUAACUUAUUGAAACAAUUUUGGUACUAGGGGUCCACGACCACAACAAUUAGGUGAGGAGAAGGAAAAGGAAGAUGACGGUGCUGGUUCAGCAUCAAAUACUCAUGUUCCAGUCCAAUCAAAACAACCUUUGAAGUACCUAGAGCACCAGUUGUUGAUGUGCCUUUAACAGGGACCGGUCGAAGUCAACAAGAAAUAGAAGGAGACUUGUGAGAACAAUUGUAAUGUUGGUCAGGCUGUGACAGGACAAUCGGAAAGUACGAAUUGUGGGAAUGUGAAUGACUUAGUUAACACUUUGUUGAUGACACCACAAGUGGAGGAAAAACUGCCAGCCCCCGGACGGUCCUGUUUUUGAUCAAACACCUCAAGCAGAAGGGAAGGCUGAAUGUACUUUUGCUAAUGACAUGUGGGUGGACAAAGAAGCGGAGGAUCCAACAGAUGAAAUCUCACAUAUGAAGGUGUACGAAAGAAGGAAAUUGAGGACGAAGAGAUUGAACAGGUUGGAGGAAGGGGGGAGCACAACAGUUUGCAAGGAAGGGGCAAAGACUGUGUAGUCUGUUUAAGCUGUAUUGUACCAGCCCACUACUUUUUAGGAUGAUUUAAGGAAGUAUGUUGACGUUUUGAGGUACCUAAGUACUGAUAUGGAUGUUGGAACAACCAUGCCGGAUGAACUUGAUUUGUUUUAUUUCGUAUUAUGCUAUUGUUUAGUACGUAUUGUUGUGGUUAUGACAAUGGCACCUGUUUGUUGGUUUCGAUUGUUGUAGAACUUAUCGCCGUAGUUGUACAGCGAUGUAGUGAAGUACUUUGUGGAUAUGCAGAAAGUAUAUUCGUGUUUGGUAA